GGUUCUCCACGAUACCAUUUCUUUAAGCUGAAUAAUAUUAAAUAAUAAUAUAAUUCGAACUUAAUUUACAUACAUCAAAGUUUCCUUUCCCAGGUACGUGACCUUCAAAUACAUUCCUUACAAUAUCUGACAAUAGAUUCCAUUGUCUUACUAACUAUAACCAUUAACUCAUACUAAUUCUCAUUCGAACAGCUUUUCUUUUCCCUUGUUCAUGCCUGAGCCUUCAGGUCGAUCGUACGUAACUGAAAACAUUUAGUUUAAGCAAGGAUGAGCAUUUGAGUGCCCAGCAAGUAAUAGCAAUUAUAUAUAUAAGCUGAAAGAAUAUAAGUAUUCUCUUUCCAUAACACUUCUACAACGAAUCGAAAGUUGUGAAGUAAUCUGUACUGAUAAAACAUUCACAUAACAACUCUCCUUCAAAUUCUUGAAAUGAGGCUCCGGCUCUACCCAUGAAUAGGGUUUAAGAAACAUACUAUGAACAUUGUUUUUCAUUUUCGAAAAGGUUUAGCAGAAAUUCAUCCGUAAACCGUCAUAACUUACGGGCACGGAGGGUGAUCAGCCCCGUUGUACCCUGUAUUGAUCAAUACUACAUAACUUGAACGAAAUUCAUCGCUCACCCUUUGUCCGCCGAAGCGCAUAAAAAUUUUCCCAUUAUCGGGAUGUUCAUACAUGCCUGGUUCCAAACCCGAAGGUUUUUAAUCUUGCUCAACAAUAAUAUGUAAUUCAACAUAUAUGUAUACGGGUAAUUGACAAAGGUAUAUCAACAUGUGAAUAAAUGCCAUGAUUAUCCAAGUGGGGACACUUGUAUAACCAUUUAGAAAUCAACUUAACAGAAUAUAUAUCUGAGCUAACAUGUUGAUAAUCAAAGCGUACAUAAUCUGUACAGGAAUAGAAUAAUUCUGAAACUUCUUACUCAUGUCCAUUGCAUAAAGGAAAUGCAAAGGUAAGAUACUUGCCUGAUUCGCUGAUUACAAAUCUCAACUUAGGUUUUAUCUCUUUAUCACAACCUAUCAAUAAUCAGAUCAUUCGUUCGAUUAGAACAAUAUAUCAUAACACAUAGUACUGUCUAUUACAGUCAGCACAUAGUCUAAUCACGUCAUCACAUAAUCGCAGUGAUCAUACUUUUAGUUCAUAUUCUAUACUUGAAAUAUUUUUAUACAUUUUUCAAAUAUCUCAUCCAUGCUCUUACAGAAGUCUUUUCUUUCUAUUAUAGGGUCUGACAUUUGUCGGCGUACCGACAGCUUUAUCGGGUAAAUACUGAGUCUAAGACUCUUAUCCUAUACCUCAACAUCUGUAAAUAUCAAACAUUUUAUUUUUAAUCAUUUUCGAAUUUUCCAGAAAUUGAAAAAUUUAAAAUAAUUCAAAUCUGUCACUACCGGGCCUAUAGUGAUAUAACUGUUACUAUAGGUGUUCCUCAAAACUUCAUAACUUCAUAAUCGGUUCUCAAGUCAGCUAGUUUGGCCGGCUAUAACUUUCAAACAUCGGAAUCAUAAUUAAAUGAUUUAAACAUUAAACAAUUCCAUUAUCAUUAAUAAUUAAUUUAUAUUAAACUAUUAAUGAAACCAUUGCCAAAAUAUAAAAGUUAUUUAUAAUAACUCAAACUAUUUUUAAAACAUUUAUAUUACCCUUAAAUGAUUUUUAAAACAAUUAAAAUCAUUUUUAAAUAAUCACCAUUAAUAUAUAAAUAUUAAUGUACUAUUCAUCCAAAUAUUAAAAGUCAUUAAUUAUAACUUAAAAUAUUUUUAAAUCCUUAAUAUCCUCUUUAAAUGAUUUUUAAAUAAAUAAAACCAUUUUUAAACUAUUUAUUUAAUAAUAAUUAUUAAAUAAACUAAAUAUCAUUAAUAUUAUCUUAAUAUCAUUAAUAUUAAAUUAUUAAUGAAAUUAUCCUUUAAAUAUUAAAAGUUAUAUUUUAUAACUUAAAAUAUUUUUAAAUACCUUAAUUUCAUUUAAAAUGAUUUUUAUAAUAUUAAAAUCAUUUUUAAACUAAAUUAUUUAAUAUAAUCAUUAAAUAACUUUAAUAUCAUUAAUAUAUAAUUAAUUAAUGAAAUUCAUCACAAAAUAUUAAAAGUCAUGGGAAAUAACUUAAAAUAUUUUCUUAUACCAUAAUAUAAUUUUUCAUGAUUUUUCAUGAAUUAAAACUAUUUUUAAAUCAUUUAUUUAAUAUUAUAAUUAAAUAAAUAAAUACCUUUUAUAUUCCAAAAAUAUUAAAUAUUUAUGAAAUAUACUCAAAAUAAUUAAAAACUAUUUUUCAGACUUUAAAAUAAUUUUUCAUAAUUUAUUUGGUAUUUUUAAUAAUUAAAAUCUAAUUUUUCUAAUUUUUAAAUCAUUUUUCGGAAAAUCAGAAAUUAAAAUAAUUAAAACUGUCGCUAAAGGCCCCUAUAGUGACAGAAGUGUCGCUAUAGGUGUUCUUGAGCCUACCCAGAUCUUCAUAAGGCAGAACCGAGUGGCCUACUUUGACCGUGAAUAACUCUCUCAUCUUAACGAAUUUGGACAAUCUAUAAAUUGGGUCUUGUAGAGGAAAUACAAGACUACAAGAUCCAACAAUCAUAACCUCUAAACAAACAUCAGAUCUGGGAUAAAUCAGCCAUCAAAGUAGCUACCAAAGCUGUUCUUCACGAAGAACAGUUCGAGGUGCCUACUUUGGACCUCUAUAACUUGAUGAUCGUGUAACGUUUAUGUGAUCUAUCAAUUCCAGUGUGUAGACAACAUGUAGGACUACAACUCUAACACUUAACAUCAUCAUAAAAACAAGAAAUCAAGCAUCUAAAGUAUGGUCAAACCUUGUCAGAAAAAUUAACACUUAGAAAAUUCUGGGCUGCCCAGAAUUUUCUGGUCAAUGCCGGUCAACCCACUUUGACCUUAAAUAACUCUUAAUCCGUAAUAUAUAUGGACCUGAUUCUUUUUGGAGGUUAAAUACCACAUAACAAGAUACACAUAUCAACCUUUAGAACACAAAACACAUUAAAGAUAACCGAGAUAUAAGGCCUGACAUUUUCCAAAAUAAUAUUUUCUGGACACUUAGAAUAUUUUCUGGGUUUGAAGAACAGCCGGUCAAUGCCGGUCAACCCACUUUGACCGCUUAUAAAUCCCGAUCUACAAUAGCUAUGAACUUUAUUCCUUUUGGAGAUUAAAGACCACAUAUCAGGCUACCUAUAACAACUUUUAAAAAACAAAACUCGAGAUCGACCAAAGAUUUAUAGCCUCUGACAUUUGGUGAAAAAUAACAGAAUUCGGUUUUUCCAACUUGUUUAAAUCUUCAAAUUCGUGCACUUUGAUGUUAUGGGUUCAUGAUUUUACAACCCAGAACAUUAAUAGACUCUCUAUUACACUACUUUAAACAAUCAAUUGCAUCAAUUAACAUCGAAUCGAAGGAUUUCUAGAAUUUAGGAUUUCCUACCUUUUCAAGCUUGAUUUUUGAUUUCUGGCUUCUUGAUGCUUCUGAUUUGUUGUUUGUGAUGGUUGGGCUUUGUUUAGGGACUGAUAUGCUACAAUAAUUCGUAGGUUUUAGAGAGAGAAGCUUAAGGAUGAGAGUUGGAUGAAUUUUAGUGUACAAAAUAUAUUAUCUCUCUCCAAUCUAUAUAUAAACCAAGUUAGAUGCAUUGGAUGCUACUCAAUGGUUGAUUGAAUCUGCAUAAUUGAGUCUUGGAUGCUUAAUUGGUAGGGUAAGUAUGUUUGCCAUGCUUUGCUAGCAAGAUUCCUCCAAUAAUACACUAAUAAUACACUAAUAAGCCAAAAAGGGUAUUUUGGUAAUUUCGCAUAUAAUUUCAUGGGCAUUUUUGUACAUAGCAAUUAAAUGUAGUAUUUAAUCACUAGAUGGUAAUUCUUAUCAUUUACCAAUUACUUUCUAUCCUUUGGUAAAUUAAAACAUUUAUACAAUAACAUCGUAAUUAAACCCAAUAAUUUUAAAUUAGGGUUUUGAUUAAAAAAUUAGGGUUUUCUAAUUAGGGUUUCUUAACGCCAUCAAUUAGGGUUUCUAAUUGACCAUUAGGGUUCUCUAAUUAUCUGUGUAUGUUCUAACACAGUCAUUACGAUCUCUAACUUCAACCGAUUAGGGUUGUAAUAAUUAGGGUUUGUCCUAAUUAUCGACAAACAACAGUAAUUAGGGUUUUCUUCUAAUUACCGACAUCUUAUACACAGUAACCUUCAUAUACACAGUAAACUUCAUAUACACAGUCACUACUCAGUCAUUUCUCAUAACUAAGUUUAAUAAUUAGGGUUUCACAGCACGGUAAUAUGCUAUGACCUAAUUGACCGUCAUUGCUCAAUAUUAUCUGCCUGCACAUACACAGUACAUAAUUAUUGUACUGUAAAAUCAUUAUAAUAAUAAUAUAAUAUUAUUAUUAUCAUCUCUUGACCAUAAUCCCAAUUCAGGGUUUGGAUCUCAUAUCUGACUUCUCUUUCUUACACAGCAUCAAUAAUCAAGUUAAAAUAGUUAACUUAAUUAUUCUGAACAAAUCAUAUAAUAAAAUAUUUAUUAUAUAAUUCCAAUUAUCACUUCAUAUAUUAUUUCCAAUCGUGUUAUCAUGGAAAAUAAUUAAUAAAAAUAUUUCUGCUUACAGAAAUUAAUUACCAUAAAAUAUAAUUUGUAGUAAUUAAUAAUUCCAAAAUUAUUUCUAAUUUUUAAAGAAAUAAAUAUAUUCGUAUUUAUCCUUCACUUUACUAGACACUUAUUCUCGUCAUUAAAUAAAUAAAUAAAAAAAUUAUACGCAAAAUUUCUUAUUUAUUUUAUAUAGAAAAUCUCGGGUUAUUACAGAAAUACGUGAAUAGUGUUUUUUAGAAAAUUUCUCGGAAAGCUUUUGUUUUCGUCUUGGAAAUUCAAACACUUUAAUUAUACCACAUAGCCAAAACUACGACAUUCCGAUAUGUCUAGGUCAUAGAACGAUCUUCAAUUAGCUUACUUCAAUAAAUAAUUAAUUAAAUUCCUUUAAUCCACAUAAUCAAAAUAAAAAUUUAAUUCUCCAAAAAUCCAAAUUUUCUAGGGCGUUACACUCAAUCUCAUUACCUACAAUCAUACAUAGACCAAAAUCAGAGCGAGCAUUAUGGAGAGUGAACAAGAAAGCUUCUAUUGAUACAAGUCUACUAACUAAUUAAUCGUCUAAUAAAUUACAAAAAAUGACAACUAAGUAUUGACACUGAUAAGUGGGUUUUAUACCUACUUAUUGGAUAUCAAUUAACACGAACUAUGCCCAUCUCAAGUACAUUUUAGUGUGUUUGUAGUUGCAUUUUGUAAUAUUUUGUAUUGCAUGUACUAAGAACUCCUUUGGUGUAAAAGUGCAGGAUAUGGCAUAACUUGGUGAUUGUAGAUGGCAUGUGAUCAAUGAAGGCACAACAUGAGGAUCGAGUGGAGCAAAGAAACCAAGCAUUGGUAGACAAAAGAAUGAGCAGCAUGACAAGGAUGAACAGCAGGACAAAGCAGUAGCAGCAACAGUAGAACACAGAAUCAAAACUGCAGAAGCCGCGCGUCUACACUGGCAUAAACUCGCGCGCCCGCGCGAUCAACCGGAUGGACCAGACUUUGGACACGCGUGCCCGCACGAUGAUUAUGAAGGGGAAGCGUGCGCCCGCGCGCGACAUCUGAGGCUGCUGAUCCGUUUUAAUUUAAUUUUUAAAUUUUAAGAGUUGGAGUCGGUUAAAACAAUUCUGGUUGGUACCAGACGUAUCAUUCAUUCAGUUUUACGUGUUUUUUAUAUUGUGAACUAGGGUUUACACUUUGAGAGAAUUCCAACGUAGAACUAAGCAUAAUUUCCAUAUUUUCUACUUCUUCUUUUGGAUUUCAAUCACUGUAAAUAAACUACUGUUAUUUUGUUGGAUUUUAUUGAGGAUUUGAACGUUACGAUUGGAUUAUAAUCAGCAAUUGGGUUUGAUCGAUUCUAUCUUUUCUCUUUCAAUUGUUUGCUUAAUACCCAUGUAUUUCUUUGAUCCCAUAAUGGCUUUUGGUUCAGUCAUGAACUAAACUCCAUUAUGGGAUUCUAACGGAUUUUAAUACGUAGUCUAACUUAUGGCCUGAUUGCUGGAUUGUUUUGCGUAUCAUAAGGAAUUUCUAUCAUGGUUAAUUUGUAUGCAUGAAUGAUUAAUCACCAUUUGUUUUAAGUGCUUGUAUGAAAUUGAAAAAUAACAUGCGAGUAUGGAUUGUAAUCAUGAUAGCAUGCGUAUAUGGGGCUGUUUUGUGUAGCUUUGUAUUUCGUGAAUCAGAUAGACAUAUACUGUUUCACCGUAUGAGUUAAAUAAGGGCUUGUGCUUAAAUUCAAUACGGUUGCAAUUUCACAUAGAAAUAUAGUGAGAUUGGCUUUGUUGAUGAUUACAUGGUGUCUAUUGCAUGUGGAUGCUAUGUGAGUACGUCAUAAUACAUUGAAAAAUGGUUAUGUCUACAUUACUGCUCUUGGCUAAUUUUUUGUGAUAAGUGAUUAUUCUUGCAUGUUGGUGAUAGUUAGAUGAACUAUUAAAUGAAGUUAGGAUCCCAUUAUUUCCAGAUUUGAUUUAUUACAAUUUUAUUCAUCUUUUAGUUGUUAUUUGAUUUUAGAGUAAUUUACAAUCAUAAUCAUAAUUUUUAGUUUAAGCAUAUAAACAUAGUGAUUUAGUUGAUGCAUAACAAUUUAAUUGAGCAACUUUCUCCGUGGAUCGAUACUCGACUUACUCUGUAUUGCUUGUUGAUACAUGUAUAAUUGCAUGAGUUAGAGAUCUUUUGUUUGAACUAAAAAAGAGGCAACAAGUUUUUGGCGCCGUUGCCGGGGAAAGGCGUUUAAAUUUAAAUAAUUAUAAUCAAUUUUAAGCUAUAUUGUAUGACUUAGACAAAUCUAAUCGUUUCUCAUUUCUAUUUUUGUUUUUGUUUUGGUUUCAGGUACUUGUAGAAUUUUUAUGCACACAUGAUCGUCCAACUCAGAAUUGAUACCAGCAUAGGAUAAUAUUAACGGAAGAGGUUGGAAAGUGAGUGUGCAGAGAAAUUUGCAAGCACAGUUAGAGGGUACUACAUUUAGUAUGGCAGAAGAGCACAGAGUAGAGCGAAGAGAAGAGCACUGGGCUCUAAGAGACUAUUCAAUGCCAAAUAUUAUUGGACUUCAGUCUAGCAUAGUCAGAUCGGCAAUAACUACAAAUACUUUCGAGAUUAAACCGGGCACUAUUCAGAUGGUGUAAAAUUCAGUACAGUUUGGGGGUGCUGUUACAGAUGAUCCGAAUGAACACCUAUUGAGCUUUAUUGAGAUUUGUGAUACAUUCUGAUACAACGGGGUGACGGAGGAUGCCAUUAGACUUCGGAUGUUUCCAUUAUCUUUGAGGGAUAAAGCGAGAAGUUGGCUUCAUUCUUUGCCUUCAGGAUCAAUUACUACAUGGGAGGACCUAGCACAGAAGUUCUUAGCCAAGUUUUUCCCAAUGGCUAAGACUGCGAAGAUGAGGACAACUAUCUCUUAGUUUGAGCAACAACAUGGUGAAUCCUUAUACGAAGCUUGGGAGAGAUAAAAAGAGAUGCUAAGGAAGUGUCCGCACCAUGGUAUGCCAGACAGUGGCCUUAACAGAGGAAUGCAGUGCAGUGCUUCAGCGUAAACUACCUCCAAAGCUGAAAGAUCCGGGCAGUUUCACAAUUCCAUGCACGAUCGGAAAGAUGAACUUUGAUAAAUAUUUGUGUGAUCUUGGGUCAAGUAUCAAUCUGAUUCCCUUGUCAGUGUUACUCAGUUGGGAUUGCCGGCUCCAAGGCCGACAAACAUUUCUUUGCAGCUAGCUGACAGAUCCAUCACGUAUCCAUGGGGAAUUGUUGAAGAUGUAUUGGUGAAAGUGGAUAAAUUUAUCUUUCUGACUGACUUCAUCAUCUUAUAUUAUGAGGAAGACAAGAGUAUACCAAUCAUACCGGGGAGACCAUUCUUAGCCAUGGGUAGGACUUUGAUAGACGUGCAAAAAGGGGAACUCACUAUGCAUGUACAUGAUCAGGAAGUUACCUUUAACGUCUUCAAGGCAAUGAAGUUCCCAACAGAUGAAGGAGAAUGCUUUCGGGUUGAUUUGGUGGAUCGGGUUCUAAAUGAUGAAGUACAGAGUCUAGUGGAUUAUAAACCAUUGAGGAGUAUCAUUGCUGAAAAUUCAGAAUUGGAGGAUGAGGAAUUCGACGAACUUGUGCAAUAUCUGGAUACCACUCCAUAAUUCAAAAUAUUCAGAACACCUGUCGAGUCAUUAACGAAUGUUGGAGAGACAUCGGUAAAUUAAAGCCAUCUCUUGAGACACCUCUAGAACUUGAAUUAAAAUCACUUCCAGAACAUCUCAGGUACACAUUUUUAAAUAAAGAUUCGAAGUUACCUGUAAUUAUUUCUUCUGCACUAACAUCCUUUUAGGAAGAAAAACUGCUACGAGUGCUUAGAGAGUUCAAAUCAGCUAUUGGAUGGACCAUAGCAGAUAUCAAAGGGAUCAGCCCUUCGUUUUGCAUGAAUAAGAUCUUGCUGGAAGAUGGUAGUAAGCCGUCGAUUGAGCAACAAAGAAGGCUUAAUCCGAUAAUGAAAGAAGUGGUCAAGAAAGAGGUACUGAAAUGGCUGGAUGCAGGCAUAAUCUAUCCGAUUUCAGACAGCUCAUGGGUGAGCCCAGUGCAGUGUGUACUGAAAAAGGGUGGCAUGACCGUAGUGACUAAUGAGAAUAAUGAGUUAAUUCUAACACGAACCGUGACAGGGUGGAGAGUCUGCAUGGACUAUCGCAGGCUCAACAAAGCUACGAGGAAAGAUCAUUUUCCACUACCAUUCAUUGUUCAAAUGUUGGACAGAUUAGCAGGUCAUGAGUAUUAUUGCCUUUUAGACAGUUAUUUAGGCUACAAUCAGAUUAUGAUAGCUCUAGAAGACCAGGAAAAGACUACCUUCACAUGUCCAUACGACACUUUUGCUUUCAGAAGGAUGUCUUUUGGGUUGUGCAACGCUCCAGCCACCUUUCAGAGAUGCAUGAUGGCUAUAUUUUUGGAUAUGGUGGAACAGAAUGUUGAGGUAUUUAUGGAUGAUUUCUUAGUCUUCGGGGACUCUUUUGAUCUAUACCUCGAAAAUUUUGUAAUGGUUUUGAAGAGGUAUGUUGAGACAAAUCUAGUGCUGAAUUGGGAAAAGUGCCAUUUCAUGGUACAAGAAGGAAUCAUACAGGGACACAAAGUUUCAAAGAAGGGACUCGAGGUGGAUAGGGCUAAGCUGGAAACUAUAGAGAACUUGCUACCACCUACUUCAGUAAAAGGUGUUCGCAGUUUUCUGGAACAUGCAUGGUUCUACCACAUAUUCAUCAAGGACUUCUCCAAGAUAACUAAACCACUAUGCAGUUUAUUGUAGAAGGAUGCACAGUUUAAUUUUGACGAGGCUUGCAUGUCGGUAUUUGAGCACUUAAAGGGGAAACUAACUUCAGCACCAGUGAUUACUGCACCAGAUUGAGAUUUGCCAUUUGAGCUGAUGUGUGAUGCCAGUGAUUACGCUGUAGGGGCUAUUUUGGGGCAGAGGAAAGAGAAGAUGUUUCAUGUGAUAUAUUAUGUCAGCAAGACCCUUACAGAUGCACAGUUGAACUACACCACCACAAAGAAAGAACUAUUGGCAAUGGUGUAUGUCUUUGACAAAUUUUGAGCAUAUCUGAUUGGCACAAAGGUGAUAGUGUACACGGAUCAUGCAACAAUUCGACAUUUAGUAGCAAAGAAAGAUAUAAAGCCCCGGUUGAUCAGAUGGAUUUUAUUACUGUAAGAAUUUGAUUUGGAGAUCAAGGAUAAAAAGGGCACUAUAAACCAAGUGGCGGACCACUUAUCACGACUAAAGAAUCCGGAAAGGGAGGCAGACGACAAAGUUGUAAUCAAUGAAGCCUUCCAGAUGAGCAGUUGUUUGUGGUGAAAGGGGAAGUGCCAUGGUUUGUAGACUACGCGAACUAUUUGGUUAGUAAGAUGCUACCUUCUGACUUGGUGGGUCAUCAAAAGAAGAAAUUUCUGCAUGAUGUCAAAUGGUAUAUCUGGGAUGAGCCUUAUUUGUUUAAAUAGUGUGCUAAUCAAAUGAUAAGAAGGUGUAUCCCGUAUAGCGAGACCGAGGGAAUUUUACAGGAUUGUCAUUCUUCGGUGUAUGGGGGUUACUAUGGUGGAGAGCGAACAGCGGCUAGAGUGCUACAAGCAGGACUCUGGCCGACAAUUUUCAAGGAUGCCUACAGUUUCGUCCAGCAGUGUUAUAGAUGUCAGAGAGUGGGGAACAUCUCAAAAAGAAAUGAAAUGCCCUUGAAUACGAUCCUCGAAGUAGAAAGUUUUGAUGUGUGGGGGAUUGACUUCAUGGGCCCUUUUGUUUCUUUCUGUGGAAAUCUCUGCAUCUUGCUUGCAGUGAAUUAUUUGUCGAAAUGGGAAGAAGCGGCAGCUCUUCCGACAAAUGAUGCCAAGGUAGUCCCCAGGUUUUUAUAUAGAAGUAUCUUCACUAGGUUUGGGACUCCAAGGGCCAUCAUCAGUGACAAAGGCAGUCAUUUCUGCAACAGGCAGUUCACAGCUUUGUUGGCUAAGUAUGGGGUGAACCAUCGCAUUGCUACAACUUAUCACCCACAAACGAAUGGCCAAGCUGAAGUGUCAAAUCGAGAAGUUAAAAGAAUCCUUGAAAAGGUUGUGAAACCCACGAGGAAGGACUGGUCGUUAAAGUUGGAUGAUGUAGUAUUGGCCUAUAAGACUGCAUACAAAACUCUGUUGGGCAUGUCACCUUUUCAGCUCGUGUAUGGAAAAGCCUGUAACCUUCCUAUGGAGCUAGAGCAUAAGGCAUAUUGGGUAAUUCGGAAGCUCAAUUUUGAUUUGAAAGCUACAGGGGAGAAACGCCUACUCCAACUUAAUAAGUUGGAUGAAUUCAUACUACAGGCAUAUGAGAAUUCAAAGAUGUACAAGGAGAAGGUGAAGAAAUGGCAUGGCCGAAAGAUCAUAGAGAGGACAUUUCAACCAGGACAAAGGGUUUUACUUUAUAACUCCAGACUUAAACUUUUUUCUAGGAAGCUGAAAUCAAGAUGGUCAGGGCCAUUUACAGUGAAGACUGUCUUUUCGCAUGGUGCAAUUGAAGUAUUUGAUAAGUUUCCGGACAAGCCUUUUAAGGUGAGUGGACAGCGACUGAAUUAUUACUUUGGUGGCGAGGUGGAUAGACAGAAAGUCACCUCAAUUCUUUCUUCAACAUGAGAUUCCGAGACAGUCAAGCUAAUUGACUAUAACUUAGCGCUUGAUGGGAGGCAACCUAUUAUUUCUAUCUCUAUUUUCUUUUUUAUUUAUUUAGUUUAGGUUGCUUUAGUUAGUUCAUUUCAUUUCAUUUGUGAUAGAUUGUUAUGUUUUGCAUAAGUGAGUGUGUAUUUGAAUCUACAUUGGACUGUGUUUUAGUAUAGUACAGAGUUUACUUGGUCAUUUAUGCUUAUUCCAGAGUUCACACGUUGACAUGGGUAAUUGGUGUUAUGCAGGUGAAUGGAAGAGAAGGCAUCACUAUUUUGAAGAUUGGGAGUUAAAAUUGGUAGUACAGGAUUUAGAGACGCGCGACCGCGCCUGGAACAGCUUGAGAAAUCGCGCGCCCGUGCCACAUGUACAGUGCAAAGUUGCACAGCCGCGCGCGAUACUGGGCAGUGAAAAUUUUUUAGGUUUUAAAACAGGUGUUUGACUCAAUUCUUCUCUCAUUUGAAAUCAUAACAGAAGGGAGUAUGCUCUUGCUCGCCUCCACAUGCACGUCUCUUCCUCUCUAUCAUUUACAAAUUGAAUGCCCCACAUCUCCAUCCGUUCAUCUCACUCCAUAUUGUGCGCAUCAGUUACCUCCUACCCACAACCAUCAUAUACACUGCUAUAAACUAGGGUUUCAGAGUGGGUUGUGCGAGAAUUAGUUUGGGGGUAAUAAACUCUGCGGCUAUCAUUCAGUCUCAAGCAAAUCUUCGUAUUCUCUAUCAAUUUAAGAUGGGUCCAAAUAGAGCACGUUCUUCUUCUUCUACAUCGUCGUCAUCCUAUAGCAGUCAAGGGGAGGAUGUAGUGGAUCAUACCAAAUUUCUGAGUUUGGAAGCACAAACAGAGUAUUACAAAUUUGUAGCCAAAACAUUUGUGAAAGAAAGGGGAUUCAAACCGGAGAAACAGGAUUGUCAGCUAUGGCAGAUGAUUUAAGAGAGGGGCUGGUUUGGAUUUACUACCACUCCUACGCCUAUUCCGAUGAUUAUAGUCCGAGAGUUCUAUGCCAAUGCUAAAGUCACCAUGAGCGGUCUAUCUAUGGUUUACGGUUUUGAAAUAGAUUUCAGACCUCCUACCAUCAGAGCAGUUUUCUGGAUUACUGACACACCACCAACUUGGUUUGCCAAUUGGGUCGAAGGUGCACAUUUGGAAACAGACUUGGAAAUGGUUAUCGCAGAGUUGUGCAUGCCAGGCACGAAGUGGACUUAUAAAGCUGGCGCGAAUCAGCCUCGCAUGUUCCCAGCCGCAGCCUUAAAUCGAUACGCAAAGGCGUGGAAUUUGUUCAUAUGUGCAAAACUAGUUUCAUCUUCGCAUCAACAUGAAAUCACAGCGGAGAGGGCAAUCAUCCUGAGGGCAUAAUUACCGACAAAUACAUUGAUGUGGGCCACCUAAUUCACUAAAAUAUGCUACGUUAUCUGCGGGGAAGUACUACAGGGAGUAUUCUACACGCGUCGGUUGUGGCUAUGUUGUGUGCUCAUCAGGGCUGUCAUUGGGACAAUGAACAGAUGCAAAACCCGAGUCAAGAUAUCACUCACGCAACCAUUGAGAAAUUUGAGGAUUGGGUAGGAGGUGCACCGCACCCGGGAGGAUGAGGGUUCAUCAUGCAGCCUACAUUCGCAACACCUCCACUACAGCCCUCCUAGACAGAUGAGGUGGGCCCGUCAACUUAAGCAGCUGCUGACACUGGGGAUCUAUAGCUCCGAAGGUUGGAGCGCAAGGUCGAUGCCAUGUACGAAAACUUUGCAGUGUUUGCUACGGGUUUGAUGAGGUCAUUGGCAGAGGCAUUUGCACUACAAGGGACAACGCUUGAGUGGCCUCAGUUUGGGACAGCCAUGCCAUAUCCACCACCGGAUUCACCACCCGAAGAGGGUGGUGCAUCUGAGCAUUAGUGGAGUUUUCUUUAACCCCUUUACCUUCAUUCACUGGGACAAUGAAUAUUAUAAGUUUGGGGGUAUUGGGGUAGUAAUGUAGUUGCAUAUAGUUUGUGCAUGUUUAGUUUAAAUUUUCAUAUAGUAUGUGCUUAUUUAGUUUAUGUUUAGUUUACAUGUGGAAUGUUUAUGGUUAGAUGAAAAAAAUUAGUUAUUAUUACUUGUGUUAGUAUAUGUUUAGUUGCAUUUUAUGUUUAGUGCAUGUCUCACAAGUUCUAGCUUUAUGGAAAUUUUGUCUAGCCUUUGAUGAAAGUGAAUUUUGAAGGAUUGUUGAAUAUUUUGGAUAACAUGAGCUUAGAUAUAAUGUUUUACACGAUGUAAUUCAUGUUGCUGUUUAGAUGCUUUCGGUUUGCACAGUCGUGUUCACAAUUGCUUGUAGGCAUACGAAUUAUGUGUUGCAUUGCUUAAUAGAAAAUGUUGUUUUAAAAAGAGAAAUGUGUGGAACAUGGACUUAGACUGUGCAAAACAUUGAUAUUCAAACUUUGGGAAAACAUGGGUAUAUGCUAUGCAUAAUAAUAAAAACAAAUAUAGCAAUAACGUGGCUAGUCUUAUUUUGGGGCCCUGGCUACUUGAGUAAGUACGCCCGUAGGGGUGUCUUAACACCUAGCGCCCUAAGGUCUUUCAUGGUUUGGGAGUCAUUGGUUGAAAGCUCGCUAAGGGGUAGUAGUGUUUGCCUAAUGGAAUGAGGCAUUGCACAAUCAUGUGAAAAAAAAAAGAAAAAAAAAUAAAAGAAGAAAAAUUGCAAUAAACACUGCGGGAAAUAGCGAAUAUCGCCCUCGUGAGUAGCAAUAAAGCAGUUAAGCCCAUUGUUUAACCUUAGUUUGUUUUGACAUGUUGGAACAAUCUUCGUUGCAUAAGUAUACAUGAGUCUUGAUUUAGACUGUAAUUUUCUGUUUUGAGCAGUUUAGCAUGUGUAUUCUUUGCUUAAAUCAAGUUUUGGUGAACACAACACACACACACAACAUCUCUAUAGCAUAUAUGAAUUACCUGAGUGUAUGAUAUUAUGCCUAUAGUUUGGUUUGAAUUUGUAUUCUUGAAUCUGGAUAAUUCGUUGAGGCAUUUUAGACUGAAAUUCUAUGAUAGCUGUAACAAUGUGAGACUCAUUUGCAUUAUGAUUUAGUUGCAUAUAUAGCAUGUCGUUGCAUUUUUAGUGUUUUAUGUUAUAUGCAUUGCUUGAGGGCAAGAAAUAGUUCAAGUUUGGGGGUAUUUGAUAAGUGGGUUUUAUACCUACUUAUUGGAUAUCAAUUCACGUGAACUAUGCCCAUCUCAAGUACAUUUUAGUGUGUUUUUAGUUGCAUUUUGUAAUAUUUUACAUUGCAUGUACUGAGAACUCCUUUGGUGUAAAAGUGCAGGAUGUGGCAUAACUUGGCGAUGGUAGAUGGCAUGUGAUCAAUGAAGGCACAACAUGAGGAUCGAGUGGAGCAAAGAAACCAAGCAUUGGCGGACAAAAGAAUGAGCAGCAUGACAAGGAUGAACAGCAGGACAAAGUAGUAGCAGCAGCAGAACACAAAAUCAAAACUACAGAAGCCACGCGGCUUCACUAGCAUAAACUCGUGCGCCCGCGCAAUCAACCGGAUGGACCAGACUUUGGACACGCGCGCCCGUGCGAUGAAUAUGAAGGGGAAGUGCGCGCCCACGCGUGACAUCUGAGGCUGCUGAUCUGUUUUAAUUUAAUUUUUAAAUUUUAAGAGUUGGAGUCGGUUAAAACAAUUUUGGUUGGUACCAGGCGUAUCAUUCAUUCAAUUUUACGUGUUUUUCAUAUUGCAAACCAGGGUUUACACUUUGAGAGAAUUCCAACAUAGAAUCAAGCAUAAUUUCCAUAUUUUCUACUUCUUCUUUUGGAUUUCAAUCACUGUAAAUAAACUACUGUUAUUUUGCUGGAUUUUAUUGAGGAUUUAAAUGUUACGAUUGGAUUAUAAUCAGCAAUUGGGUUUGAUCGAUUCUAUCUUUUCUCUUUCAAUUGUUUGCUUAAUAUCCAUGUAUUGCUUUGAUCCCAUAAUGUCUUUUGGUUCAGUCAUGAACUAAACUCCAUUAUUGGAUUCUAAAGGAUUUUAAUACGUAGUCUAACUUAUGGCAUGAUUGAUGGACUGUUUUGCGUAUCAUAAGGAACUUCUAUCAUAGUUGAUUUGCAUGCAUGAAUGAUUGAUCACCAUUCAUUUUAAGUACUUGUAUGAAAUUGAAAAAUAACAUGCGAGUAUGUAUUGUAAUCAUGAUAGCAUGCGUAUAUGGGGCUAUUUUUUGUAGCUUUGUAUUUCGUGAAUCAGAUAGACAUAUACUGUUUCACCGUAUGAGUUAAAUAAGGGCUUGUGCUUAAAUUCAAUACUGUUGCAAUUUCACAUAGAAAUAUAGUGAGAUUAGCUUUGUUGAUGAUUACACGGUGUCUAUUGCAUGUGGAUGCUAUGUGAGUAGGUCAUAAUACAUUGAAAAAUGGUUAUGUCUACAUUACUACUCUUAGCUAAUUUUCUGUGAUACGUGAUUAUUCUUGCAUGAUGGUGAUAGUUAGAUGAACUAUUAAAUGAAGUUAGGAUCCCAUUAUUUCCAGAUUUGAUUUAUUACAUUUUUAUUCAUCUUUUAGUUGUUAUUUGAUUUUAAAGUAAUUUACAAUUAUAAUCAUAAUUAUUAGUUUAAGCAUAUAAACAUAGCGAUUUAGUUGAUGCAUAAUAAUUUAAUUUAGCAACUUUCUCCGUGGAUCGAUACUCGACUUACUCUGUAUUUCUUGUUGACACAUGUAUACUUGCAUGAGUUAGAGAUCUUUUGUGACGCCCCCAAAAUAGGUAUACAUCACCCAUCUUGAGUCGCCAAAUACAUGGUACAUAAAUCAAAUACAACAUAAUUAUACAACUGUCGUGUAAAACAUAAACUGAGAGUUUAAACAAGAAUAUUGCCUUCUAGACAAUAUCCAUUCUCAAUGGAGUCCUCAUAGACAGUAUACAAACUCAAAUUCAGUCCUCAUUACAUUUAUUAUCACACUAUUUAACAAAAUGGUGAGGACUAUGCUAUCAUCUAGAAUGUCAAUCUGUUCCCCGACUCGUCCCAGCUAUAUUCUCAUUUCCUGAAGAGAACAGUGAAGAAAGGGUGAGCUCAACUAGCCCAGUAAGAAAUAUUAUGACUAAGAUAAUGCAGAAUAAAUUAUCAUUAGUCCUCAACAAUGUUAAACUGAUAAAAUACAAUAGACAUCAAGUUUAACUGCAGUAGAAUAAGUAAUCCAUUAAAAGAGUUAAGUAGAGAAUAAAAUCUACUAUCUUUUAUGAUUUAAAACGUUUUCAUCAAUUUUUAUAGCUGAGACUCAGCUUAAUAAAUAAUCCACAUCAUCCCUGCACUACGGCCAAGGAUAUUCAUUAGGGUCACGACCACAAAUUAUCCAUGCACUACGGGCCAAUGAGGACUUUUAUCACAUCAUUUUUAACAUUACGGUCAUGAUUAUAUCGAAUAAUCCCUGGUCAUAAUCAUACCAAGUCCAUCUAUGCACUACAGGCCACAGAUGACUUUCAAAAAAAAUAUAAAUAUGAGGAUGAUGAGAAUGAUAUAAGAAUUCAAUAAAACAAGUUCACGAAUUAAAUUAUCCAGGAGCUAAUAACGUCUAAAUUGUCAACAUGAUACUUCUUUGUAGAGUAAAAUUCAAGAAUGCUUAGAAGAAUAUUUCCAUGAAAAGAUACUGGAUGAAGCACAAAUAUCAAUGAUAUUCCACUAAUUUCAUGGAGUAUAGAAGUCAAAACUUUAACCAACUGAGUAUAAUAAAGAAUAGAAUAACAAAAGAAAUCACCAUGCAUGCGGUACUUAGCAUAGACAGGUUAUCAAAACAGAAUAAUAAGUAACGGAACCAGGUUCGGUGUAAAACACACAGACAGGAUAUUUCAACGGAAUAAUAAAGACGGAACCAGGUCCGGUGUAAACACACAGACAGGAUAUUCCAACAGAAUAAUAAAGAAUGGAAUAACAUAAGGAUUUCACCAAGUAUAGGGUAUGCUGCGUAUACAGGUUAUGUAUAGGGUAUGCCGCGUAUACAGGUUAUUCCAACAGAAUAAUAAAGAAUGGAAUAACAUAAGAUUUCACCAAGUAUAGGGUAUGCCUGGUAUACAGGUUAUGUAUAGGGUAUGCCGCGUAUACAGGUUAUUCUAACAGAAUAAUAAAGAAUGGAAUAACAUAAGGAUUUCACCAAGUAUAGGGUAUGCCGCAUAUACAGGUUAUUCCAACAGAAUAAUAAAGAAUGGAAUAACAUAAGGAUUUUACCAAGUAUAGGGUAUGCCGCGUAUACAGGUUAUGUAUAGGGUAUGCCGCGUAUACAUGUUAUUUCAACAGAAUAAAUAAGAAUGGAAUAACAUAAGGAUUUUACCAAGUAUAGGGGAGUCCGCGUAUACAGGUUAUUCCAACAGAAUAAAUAAGAAUGGAAUAACAGAAGUUCUCUUCAUGAAUAAGAAAGAAUAACACCCCUUACAGGUACAACAAAUAAUAUCCCUUACCGUAAAAGAUACUGGAUAUUGAAGUAGUGAAGUAGCAGAAUACUCUUCUUCUUUCUCUCUAUAAUUUCUCUCUCGAGAGUUUCAGUGAAUUCAUAAGAAAUAAUGAAGGAAUGAACUUCUAUUUAUAGAAAAACUGAGAGUGGAUCUUGGUCUUAACGAAGGGUCAAAAUGACUCUUGGUAAUAUUGAAGAGACAACUACUAUUUGUGAAGGGGUAAUUAACUCUUGGAACACCGAAGAGGCAAAUAACGCUUGGUAAUAUUGAAGAGACAACUACUAUUUGUGAAGGGGUAAUUAACUCUUGGAACACCGAAGAGGCAAAUAACUCUUGGUAAUAUUGAAGGGACAACAACUAUUUACGAAGGGGCAAUUAACUCUUUGUAAUAUUGAAGGGACAAGUUACUAUUAAGACUUUAAAUCAACGAUCCAUAUCGAUUUACUAUUCUAAUUUCAACCAACGGUCAGAAAAAUUAGCACAUCUCCUCAUGGAAUAAUAUUGUACCCAAAUAGCCGAGUAAACAAUACUAGAGUGAAUAGUAAUCAGGUGAAUAGUAACCCAUGAAUAG
rnacentral:lncRNA from 1 species